AAAUUGAAGAGUUUGAUCAUGGCUCAGAUUGAACGCUGGCGGCAGGCCUAACACAUGCAAGUCGAACGGUAACAGGAAACAGCUUGCUGUUUCGCUGACGAGUGGCGGACGGGUGAGUAAUGUCUGGGAAACUGCCUGAUGGAGGGGGAUAACUACUGGAAACGGUAGCUAAUACCGCAUAAUGUCGCAAGACUAAAGAGGGGGACCUUCGGGCCUCUUGCCAUCGGAUGUGCCCAGAUGGGAUUAGCUAGUAGGUGGGGUAACGGCUCACCUAGGCGACGAUCCCUAGCUGGUCUGAGAGGAUGACCAGCCACACUGGAACUGAGACACGGUCCAGACUCCUACGGGAGGCAGCAGUGGGGAAUAUUGCACAAUGGGCGC
rnacentral:rRNA from 1 species